GCAGCCAUUCAUUCAAAGAGUGCGUAACAGCUCACUGGUCGAGGGGGCUCGCGUGGAUAAUAAUCGGGUAUAAGGCAGAUGCCGAAGGCGCGGGAUAUCGAAAGAACGUAUCGGUAGGGGAGCAUUCCAGGUGCGCAGAAUGCAAGGGGCGACCCAUGCUGGAGCGCCUGGAAAGGCAAAUGUAGGUAUGAGUAACGACAAGGGGGGCGCGAACCCCCCCCGCCGCAAGGCCAAGGUUUCCCGGGCGAUGCCAGUCAUCCCGGGGUAAGUCGGGCCCUAAGCCUAAGCCGAAUGGCGAUGGCGAUGGCAGACACGGUUGAUAUUCCGUGACUGCCCGUGCGGGCGAUGCGGCAACGGAGAAGUGACACCGCCGCGCGCAGACGGAACUGCGCGUUGAAGGGUGUAGGCGUCGAGGGGCGCAGUCAAGCACACGCCCCGAGCCGAACCUGAGAGUACGGCGCUCCAUUCGUGGAGGGCCGAGAGUGCGGGUAAUCCGGCUCCCAAGAAACCCCGCUAAGCUUAACCGCACGGGCACCCGUACCGCAAACGGACACACGUGGCCGGGUAGAGCAUACCAAGGCGUUGAGAGACUCAUGGUCAAGGAACUAGGCAAACCAGCCCCGUAACUUCGGGAGAAGGGGUCCUCCCCCUGUGGGAGGCGCAGCGAACAGGCCCAGGCAACUGUUUACCAAAAACACAGGGCUGUGCAAACUCGAGAGAUGAAGUAUACAGCCUGACACCUGCCCGGUGCCGGAAGGUUAAGAGGAGGCGUCACCGCAAGGGAAGCGCCGAGUUGAAGCCCCGGUAAACGGCGGCCGUAACUAUAACGGUCCUAAGGUAGCGAAAUUCCUUGUCGGGUAAGUUCCGACCUGCACGAAUGGUGUAAUGAUCCGGGCGCUGUCUCGACCAUGAUCUCAGUGAAAUUGUAGUAUCGGUGAAGAUGCCGAUUACCCGCGAUGGGACGAAAAGACCCCGUGAACCUUUACUGCAGCUUAGCGCUGACCUUGGCCAUCGGAUGUGUAGGAUAGGCCGGAGGCAAUGAAGGCGCCACGCCAGUGGUGCCGGAGCCGCCGUUGAAAUACGGCCCUUCCGCUGUCCGGGGUCUAACGCGCGAUGCGCGGACACCGCUUGGCGGGCAGUUUGACUGGGGUGGUCGCCUCCAAAAGCGUAACGGAGGCUUCCAAAGGUGCCCUCAGGCCGAUUGGCAACCGGCCUAAAUGAGUGCAAUGGCAAAAGGGCGCUUGACUGGGAGGGGGACACCCCGAGCAGGCAGGAAACUGGGGCAUAGUGAUCCGGCGGUUCCGCAUGGAAGGGCCGUCGCUCAAAGGAUAAAAGGUACUCCGGGGAUAACAGGCUGAUC
rnacentral:rRNA from 1 species